CCUAACACAUGCAAGUCGAGCGGUAACAGGGGUAGCUUGCUACCCGCUGACGAGCGGCGGACGGGUGAGUAAUGCAUAGGAAUCUGCCCGAUAGUGGGGGAUAACCUGGGGAAACCCAGGCUAAUACCGCAUACGUCCUACGGGAGAAAGGGGGCUUCGGCUCCCGCUAUUGGAUGAGCCUAUGUCGGAUUAGCUAGUUGGUGAGGUAAAGGCUCACCAAGGCAACGAUCCGUAGCUGGUCUGAGAGGAUGAUCAGCCACAUCGGGACUGAGACACGGCCCGAACUCCUACGGGAGGCAGCAGUGGGGAAUAUUGGACAAUGGGGGCAACCCUGAUCCAGCCAUGCCGCGUGUGUGAAGAAGGCCCUCGGGUUGUAAAGCACUUUCAGCGAGGAAGAACGCCUAGCGGUUAAUACCCGUUAGGAAAGACAUCACUCGCAGAAGAAGCACCGGCUAACUCCGUGCCAGCAGCCGCGGUAAUACGGAGGGUGCAAGCGUUAAUCGGAAUUACUGGGCGUAAAGCGCGCGUAGGUGGCUUGAUAAGCCGGUUGUGAAAGCCCCGGGCUCAACCUGGGAACGGCAUCCGGAACUGUCAGGCUAGAGUGCAGGAGAGGAAGGUAGAAUUCCCGGUGUAGCGGUGAAAUGCGU
rnacentral:rRNA from 1 species